rnacentral:tRNA from 1 species
GCGGAUGUGGCGGAACUGGCAGACGCGCUAGAUUCAGGUUCUAGUGGUGGCAACACUGUGUGGGUUCAAAUCCCUUCAUCCGCACCA